rnacentral:rRNA from 1 species
GACGAACGCUGGCGGCGUGCCUAAUACAUGCAAGUCGAACGCAGUGGGGACGGGUGAGUAACACGUGGGUAACCUCCCAUCAGAGGGGAUAACCCUUGGAAACAGGUGCUAAACCGCUACUGAUGGAUGGACCCGCGGUGCAUUAGCUAGUUGGUGAGGUAACGGCGCACCAAGGCCACGAGGCAUAGCCGACCUGAGAGGGUGAUAGGCAACACUGGAAAUGAGACACGGCCCAGACUCCUACGGGAGGCAGCAGUAGGGAAUCUUGGGCAAUGGGCGAAAGUCUGAUGGAGCAACGCCGCGUGAGUGAAGAAGGUUUUCGGAUCGUAAAGCUCUGUUGUUAGAGAAGCGUUAUCUAACCAGAAAGCCACGGCUAACUACGUGCCAGCAGCCGCGGUAAUAC